rfam:Schistosoma haematobium scaffold220_17, whole genome shotgun sequence.
AUCCAACUGACGAGUCCCAAGUAGGACGAAAUGCGCUUCAUAGUUUGUAU